AAUAAACGCUGGCGGCGUGCCUAACACAUGCAAGUUGAGCGAGAAAGUUCUUUCGGGAAUGAGUAAAGCAGCGAACGGGUGAGUAACACGUGAGAAUUUCCCUUUUAGUGAAGGAUACCUUCGAGAAAUCGAAGUUAAUACUGCAUACGUCCCUUCGGGAGAAAGACGGCCUCUUUGCUGUCGCUGAAAGAUAAGCUCGCGCACUAUUAGCUAGUUGGU
rnacentral:rRNA from 1 species